AAAUGAGAAAUAGGUGAAGAGAAGACAGGACUCUUUGCUUCAACAAACAGCAGUUUUAUUCUGGUACUAGUGAGAAAGUGUGUAAGGUACUAGGUAGAUGUUUUUGACCAGUCGCAAAUGUGAAAAUAUAUCAAGCAAAUACAUAAUUUAAAUAGGAAGACUAAUGAAGCUCUUUGUUCAAAUAGAGUUGGUUAGAAACACACUAUUGUGGGGAGGUGCAAUAAUAUGAAAAAAUACAAUCAAAUCUACUGCCAUUUUAAAUAACCAUAUUUGCAGAGAAAGAGUACAUCAUAUUAAAAACAUAAAAGUGCUCUUUGACAGAACAUAAUAUUUUCAGUUGCUGAAUUUAUUUACAUUGUUUCUGUAAGGUGCACGUCAAUCAAGGAACAGCCAGAUGAACCUCCAUGGACAAUAGUGUUAUUAGACACUAACGCCCAAAGUGUGGGGCCAGGAGCAGUUUCCACUCAAGACAUAAUUUCUACAAGAUCCAGUGGUCUGCUAUGGAGACUGCACUAGCCUUUUCCAGUGUGAUCUGUGGGAGGCUGCCACUGCCUUGGACUGCUUAUUUUACCGGCUCCCCAGAGCCCUCUUUCAAGCUUCAUUGGAAAUAGUAACAGCAACCCUAACUUUACUAUUGUGAUGCAUUUUCUUUAUUGAGUACAAAUGUGUUGUUUCUAGGACAGUGCCUCGUAGGUUAUAUAGGCACUUACUAAAACUUUGCUGAAUGAAUGAAAGGCCAAAAAUGAA